CAGGUCAGCAUACUGCCGUGAAUACGUUCCCGGGCCUUGUACACACCGCCCGUCACACCAUGAGAGUUGGGGAUACCCGAAGCCUGUGAGCUAACAGUAAUGGAGCAGCAGUCGAAGGUAGAAUCAAUGAUUGGGGUGAAGUCGUAACAAGGUAGC
rnacentral:rRNA from 1 species